UACGUAGGGUGCAAGCGUUGUCCGGAAUUAUUGGGCGUAAAGAGCUCGUAGGCGGUCUGUCACGUCGGAUGUGAAAAUCCAGGGCUUAACCUUGGACCUGCAUUCGAUACGGGCAGACUAGAGUUCGGUAGGGGAGACUGGAAUUCCUGGUGUAGCGGUGAAAUGCGCAGAUAUCAGGAGGAACACCAGUGGCGAAGGCGACUACCUGGCCUGUUCUUGACGCUGAGGCGCGAAAGCUAGGGGAGCAAACGGG
rnacentral:rRNA from 1 species